rnacentral:rRNA from 2 species
CUAUACAUGCAGUCGAGCGAACAGACAAGGAGCUUGCUCCUUUGACGUUAGCGGCGGACGGGUGAGUAACACGUGGGUAACCUACCUAUAAGACUGGGAUAACUUCGGGAAACCGGAGCUAAUACCGGAUAAUAUUUCGAACCGCAUGGUUCGAUAGUGAAAGAUGGUUUUGCUAUCACUUAUAGAUGGACCCGCGCCGUAUUAGCUAGUUGGUAAGGUAACGGCUUACCAAGGCGACGAUACGUAGCCGACCUGAGAGGGUGAUCGGCCACACUGGAACUGAGACACGGUCCAGACUCCUACGGGAGGCAGCAGUAGGGAAUCUUCCGCAAUGGGCGAAAGCCUGACGGAGCAACGCCGCGUGAGUGAUGAAGGUCUUCGGAUCGUAAAACUCUGUUAUUAGGGAAGAACAUACGUGUAAGUAACUAUGCACGUCUUGACGGUACCUAAUCAGAAAGCCACGGCUAACUACGUGCCAGCAGCCGCGGAAAUUCUAAA